GCAGGACAGCAGGGGGGUGGCAGCGCUGGGUUGGUGGUUUACAACCUACUGAACUCGUGUAUCUGAUUCUUCUUUCUGUCGGAGAUGGCUUUUAUCUACGAAGCCUUGUAAACGGAAGUCUUCGGUUCUCAGAUUAAUAUGGUUUAUGGCCUUAGGACGGCUUCUGAAGUUAGUGCUGAAAGUAGCAUGUUUCUACAAAAGCGGCUUUUGUGUGCACUCUCUCACAUAGCAGUCGGCAGAAACCCACAGGUUUGAAUGUAACUUCCAGCGACUGAGUCCAGCACUUCUCAGCAAGACUCCAAAGUUGUACGCUGCUGGAGUUGUUCUUCCCUGCGUCAGGACCCACACACAAGGAUCAGGUCACGCCUGGAAUUCUGUUUCAUAAGCUGAAGACGGUGCAUUCCUAAAUCUUGCCCUAGGGGCGUUGUGUUUUUCUGGGGAAAAGGGUUUUAUUCCCUGGAUAAUGUGGGGGCCCUUUACGUUCUCUGGCAUUUCACCAUCUUUCUGCACUUGUAGGUACCAGUUGCUACUCUGAGCGCAGUCACUGAAUGUAGUUUGUUCUGCCAAAGUGAAAAUAACUGUGAUGUGACUAUGAGAGGUAGUUGUAUAAACAAAAUGAUUCCUGUUUGGGUUUCAAUUCUUAAAAUCACCUAUUUCCAGUA